rnacentral:rRNA from 1 species
UACAGAGGGGGCAAGCGUUGUUCGGAAUUACUGGGCGUAAAGGGCGCGUAGGCGGCCUGCUAAGUCGAACGUGAAAUCCCUGGGCUCAACCCAGGAACUGCGUCCGAUACUGGUUGGCUUGAAUCCGGGAGAGGGACGUGGAAUUCCAGGUGUAGCGGUGAAAUGCGUAGAUAUCUGGAGGAAUACCGGUGGCGAAGGCGGCAUCCUGGACCGGCAUUGACGCUGAUGAGCGAAAGCUAGGGGAGCAAACAGG